UACGAAGGGGGCUAGCGUUGCUCGGAAUCACUGGGCGUAAAGCGCACGUAGGCGGCUUACUAAGUCAGGGGUGAAAUCCUGGAGCUCAACUCCAGAACUGCCUUUGAUACUGGUGAGCUUGAGUCCGGAAGAGGUGAGUGGAACUGCGAGUGUAGAGGUGAAAUUCGUAGAUAUUCGCAAGAACACCAGUGGCGAAGGCGGCUCACUGGUCCGGUACUGACGCUGAGGUGCGAAAGCGUGGGGAGCAAACGGG
rnacentral:rRNA from 1 species